AUGGCGUCCGACGGGGACAACAAGCGGCUGUUCCGCGUGCGGCGCACGGUGCUGCAGAUGCUGGGAGACCGCGGGUACUCGGUGAAGGACGAGGAAAUCAAGCUGUCCCUGCACGAGUUCGUCGAGCGCUACGGAGACCCCGUCCGCCGGGACGAGAUCGUCAUCCAUUGCGAGAAGCAGGGCGACCCCAACGACAAGGUCAACGUCUUCUUCCUCGACGAGUCCAAGACCGGCCUGGCCGUGGUCAGGAGCUGCGUCGAGAAGAUGAAGCUGGGGAACGCCACCAAUGGCAUCUUCGUCCUGCAGAAGGCGCUGACCGGCCCGGCCAGGACCGAGGUCGCACAGAGCAAGAAGUACCACCUCGAGGUUUUCCAGGAAGGGGAGCUUCUUGUAAACAUUACUGAACACCAUCUCGUUCCGAAGCACGAGCUCCUGAGUGACGAGGAGAAGAAGGAGCUGCUGCAGAAAUACACUGCCCACGAAACUCAGCUCCCGAGGAUUCAGCUCACGGAUCCGGUAGCAAGAUACUACGGCAUGAAGCGUGGGCAGGUGGUGAAGAUCACCCGGCAGAGCGAAGUCGCCGGAGAAUACGUGACCUACCGCUACGUCAUGUGA
rnacentral:rRNA from 1 species